UAUCGUGGGCUUGUGCUGAGAGCCAA
rnacentral:piRNA from 1 species